rnacentral:hammerhead_ribozyme from 1 species
AUCCAGUUGACGAGUGCCAGCAUAGGACGAAACAUCUACCCUGGAU